rnacentral:lncRNA from 12 species
CAGAGAUUUGGUGUACCACAGACUGUCUCACCCCUUGCAGGCACGCAAAAAGUUGUGAGUUUCUCAAUUUGCCCACCACGGUUUUCUGCAUGCUUGUGCUGCCUUGGGUUGCAGCACACGUAAUGGGGGGAUAUACCGAAAGCCAGAGGCGCUCCCCAGAUGUGAAGCACUGAACACCUGCAGGAUGAGCUCCUUCUGGUACUGCUCACACUCUGGGAAAAGAUGUCCUGACUCAAGUGUCACUGGAGGAACAUACAGCCAUACUGACAGGAAGGAAACCGGUGACAGGCUGGAUGGAGUGUGUGGAGCUGCCACUUGUCCUGGGAAAGGGAAGGGCAUCUGCCUG